rnacentral:tRNA from 1 species
CGGGCCGUAGCGCAGUUGGUAGCGCGCACGCUUGGGGUGCGUGAGGUCGUGAGUUCGAAUCUCGCCGGCCCGACCA